rnacentral:rRNA from 1 species
CCUACGGGAGGCAGCAGUCGAGAAUCAUUCACAAUGGGGGAAACCCUGAUGGUGCGACGCCGCGUGGGGGAAUGAAGGUCUUCGGAUUGUAAACCCCUGUCAUGUGGAGCAAAUUAAAAAGAUAGUACCACAAGAGGAAGAGACGGCUAACGCUGUGCCAGCAGCCGCGGUAAUACAGAGGUCUCAAGCGUUGUUCGGAAUCACUGGGCGUAAAGCGUGCGUAGGCUGUUUCGUAAGUCGUGUGUGAAAGCCGCGGGCUUAACCCGCGGACGGCACAUGAUACUGCGAGACUAGAGUAAUGGAGGGGGAGCCGGAAUUCUCGGUGUAGCAGUGAAAUGCGUAGAUAUCGAGAGGAACACUCGUGGCGAAGGCGGGUUCCUGGACAUUAACUGACGCUGAGGCACGAAGGCCAGGGGAGCGAAAGGGAUUAGAUACCCGUGUAGUC